rnacentral:rRNA from 1 species
GAGUUUGAUCGUGGCUCAGAGCGAACGCUGGCGGCAGGCUUAACACAUGCAAGUCGAACGAUCCUUCGGGAUAGUGGCGGACGGGUGAGUAACACGUGGGAACGUGCCCUUAGGUUCGGAACAACACAGGGAAACUUGUGCUAAUACCGGAUGUGCCCUUCGGGGAAGAUUUAUCGCCUUUGGAGCGGCCCGCGUCUGAUUAGCUAGUUGGUGAGGUAAAGGCUCACCAAGGCUACGAUCAGUAGCUGGUCUGAGAGGAUGGCCAGCCACAUUGGGACUGAGACACGGCCCAGACUCCUACGGGAGGCAGCAGUGGGGAAUAUUGCACAAUGGGCGAAAGCCUGAUGCAGCGACGCCGCGUGAGGGAUGACGGCC